rnacentral:misc_RNA from 1 species
GUAAGAUGAGGGAGGUGAGAUUAAGAAAAGUUUGGGCGUCUGAAGAGAAGAUGCACAUAUGCCCCAAUGAUGAGGUGUUCUGGUUGACUAUUUGGGUAUAAGGAGAGGUAGAGGUAGAACCGCAGAAAUCUUGGGAAAGGUGAGUAGACAUGACAUACCACACCUUUAGUUUAUCGAUGACAUGAUUAUAGAUAGGAAGAUAUGGAGGUCGAGGAUUGGGGUAGAAGUUUAGUAGGUAGUCGAGCAUUAUCUAGUUCCCUUAUUUGCUGCAGUUACUGUAUUAU